rnacentral:rRNA from 1 species
GCCAUGCAUGUCUAAGUACAUGCCGAAACAGGGCGAAACCGCGAAUGGCUCAUUAAAUCAGUUAUGGUUCCUUGGAUCGUACCUCACAUACUUGGAUAACUGUGGCAAUUCUAGAGCUAAUACAUGCAGCAGAGCUCCGACCCCCUGGGGACGAGCGCUUUUAUUAGACCAAAACCAAUCGGUUCCGCAAGGUUCCGCACUCGGUGGUGACUCUGUAUAACUUUGGGCUGAUCGCACGGGCCCGUCCCGGCGACGCGUCCUUCAAGUGUCUGCCUUAUCAACUGUCGACGGUAGGCCAAUCGCCUACCGUGGUCGUAACGGGUGACGGGGAAUCAGGGUUCGGUUCCGGAGAGGGAGCCUGAGAAACGGCUACCACAUCCAAGGAAGGCAGCAGGCGCGCAAAUUACCCACUCCCGGCACGGGGAGGUAGUGACGAAAAAUAACAAUACGGGACUCUUACGAGACCCCGUAAUUGGAAUGAGUACACUCUAAAUCCUUUCGCGAGGAUCCAUUGGAGGGCAAGUCUGGUGCCAGCAGCUGCGGUAAUUCCAGUUCCAAUAGCGUAUAUUAAAGUUGUUGCGGUUAAAAAGCUCGUAGUUGGAUCUCAGUUCCAGGCGGGCGGUCCCCCUAACGGGGGCCACCGUCCGUUCUGAACAGCCAGCCGGCUGCGCUCGAUGAUCUUCACCGGUUGUCUUGCGCGUCCGGCACGUUUACUUUGAAAAAAUUAGAGUGCUCAGAGCAGGCGCGACGCCUGGAUAAUGGUGCAUGGAAUAAUGGAACAGGACCUCGGUUCUGCUUUGUUGGUUUUCGGGACGAGAGGUAAUGAUUAAGAGGGACAGACGGGGGCAUUCGUAUUGACGCGCUAGAGGUGAAAUUCUUGGACCGCGGCAAGACGAACAGCAGCGAAAGCAUUUGCCAAGAAUGUUUCCAUUGAUCAAGAACGAAAGUUAGAGGCUCGAAGGCGAUCAGAUACCGCCCUAGUUCUAACCAUAAACGAUGCCAGCCAGCGAUCGGGCUGCGUUCCUCAAAUGACGCGCCCGGCAGCUUCCGGGAAACCAAAGCCUUUGGGUUCCGGGGGAAGUAUGGUUGCAAAGCUAAAACUUAAAGGAAUUGACGGAAGGGCACCACAAGGAAUGGAGCCUGCGGCUCAAUUUGACUCAACGCGGUAAACUCACCCGGCCCGGACACAGGAAGGAUUGACAGAUUGAGAGCUCUUUCUUGAUUCUGUGGGUGGUGGUGCAUGGCCGUCGGUAGUUGGUGGAGCGAUUUGUCUGCUUAAUUGCGAUAACGAACGAGACUCUAGCCUACUAAAUAGGCGCUCCGGUCCCCCGCGGCCGGACGCUCUUCUUAGAGGGACAGGUGGCGCUUAGCCGCACGAGACGGAGCAAUGACAGGUCAGUGAUGCCCUUAGAUGUCCGGGGCCGCACGCGCGCUACAUUGAAGGAAUCAGCGUGUGCUUUCCCGCCCCGAGAGGGGCGGGUAACCCGUUGAACCUCCUUCGUGCUGGGGAUAGCCGCUUGCAACUUUUCGGCUUGAACGAGGAAUUCCUCGUAAUCGCAAGUCAUAAGCUUGCGCUGAUUGAGUCCCUGCCCUUUGUGCACACCGCCCGUCGCUAGAACCGAUUGAAUGAUUUAGUGAGGCCUUCGGACUGGCGCUCGGACUGGCCUCCGGGUCGGGCCGACGUGCCGGAAAGAUGGCCAAACUUGAUCAUUUAGAGGAUCUAAAAGUCGUAACAAGGUUGCC